rnacentral:rRNA from 1 species
AGAACGAACGCUGGCGGCAUGCCUAAUACAUGCAAGUCGAACGAAGGCUUCGGCCUUAGUGGCGCACGGGUGCGUAACGCGUGGGAAUCUGCCCCUUGGUUCGGAAUAACAGUUGGAAACGACUGCUAAUACCGGAUGAUGACGAAAGUCCAAAGAUUUAUCGCCAAGGGAUGAGCCCGCGUAGGAUUAGCUAGUUGGUGAGGUAAAGGCUCACCAAGGCGACGAUCCUUAGCUGGUCUGAGAGGAUGAUCAGCCACACUGGGACUGAGACACGGCCCAGACUCCGUACGGGAGGCAGCAGGUAGGGAAUAGUUGGACAAGUGGGACGAAAGCCUAGAUCCAGCAAUGCCGUCGUGAGCGAUGAAGCCGUUAGGUUGUAAA